rnacentral:rRNA from 1 species
AUGACUUGUGGCUGGGGGUGAAAGGCCAAUCAAACCGGGAGAUAGCUGGUUCUCCCCGAAAGCUAUUUAGGUAGCGCCUCGUGAAUUCAUCUCCGGGGGUAGAGCACUGUUUCGGCAAGGGGGUCAUCCCGACUUACCAACCCGAUGCAAACUGCGAAUACCGGAGAAUGUUAUCACGGGAGACACACGGCGGGUGCUAACGUCCGUCGUGAAGAGGGAAACAACCCAGACCGCCAGCUAAGGUCCCAAAGUCAUGGUUAAGUGGGAAACGAUGUGGGAAGGCCCAGACAGCCAGGAUGUUGGCUUAGAAGCAGCCAUCAUUUAAAGAAAGCGUAAUAGCUCACUGGUCGAGUCGGCCUGCGCGGAAGAUGUAACGGGGCUAAACCAUGCACCGAAGCUGCGGCAGCGACACUAUGUGUUGUUGGGUAGGGGAGCGU